GCGAGUGAGAAUGCAGGCAUGAGUAACGAAUUGAUAGGUGAGAAUCCUAUCCGCCGGAUGACUAAGGGUUCCUGGGUCAAGUUCGUCUUCCCAGGGUGAGUCGGGACCUAAGGCGAGGCCGACAGGCGUAGUCGAUGGAUGACGGGUUGAUAUUCCCGUACCGGCGAAGAAC
rnacentral:rRNA from 13 species